rnacentral:hammerhead_ribozyme from 1 species
AUCCAGCUGACGAGUCCCAAAUAGGACUAAACGCGCGUCCUCGAU